rnacentral:rRNA from 1 species
CAGCGCCACGAGUGGCAAUCGCGAUUAUUGGGCCUAAAGCGUCCGUAGCCGGUUCGGUAAAUCCUUUGUGAAAUCGCCAAGCUUAACUUGGCGGCGUGCAGGGGACACUGCCGAACUCGAGACCGGGAGGAGUUAGAAGUAUUUUUGGGGGAGCGGUAAAAUGCUAUAAUCCCAGAAAGACUACCGAUGGCGAAGGCAUCUAACUAGAACGGAUCUGACGGUGAGGGACGAAAGCCAGGGGAGCGAACCGGAUUAGAUACCCGAGUAGUCC